rnacentral:ribozyme from 1 species
AAUUCAAAACAAGAAAAACCGGAGAAUCUCGUCUCAUCUUGUUGCUAGUAGAAGUUUUGUUUCUUUUUUGUCUCCUUUUCGUAUUUC